rnacentral:rRNA from 1 species
GUGCCAGCAGCCGCGGUAAUACGGAGGGUGCGAGCGUUAAUCGGAAUUACUGGGCGUAAAGCGCAUGCAGGCGGGCUGUUAAGUCAGAUGUGAAAGCCCGGGGCUUAACCUCGGAAUUGCAGUUGAAACUGGCAGGCUAGAGUGUUGUAGAGGGGGGUAGAAUUUCUGGUGUAGCGGUGAAAUGCGUAGAGAUCUGAAGGAAUACCAGUGGCGAAGGCAGCCCCCUGGACAAAGACUGACGCUCAGAUGCGAAAGCGUGGGGAGCAAACAGGAUUAGAUACCCCCGUAGUCC